CAGCAGCCGCGGUAAUACGGAGGGUGCAAGCGUUAAUCGGAAUUACUGGGCGUAAAGCGCACGCAGGCGGUUCGUUAAGACAGAUGUGAAAUCCCCGGGCUUGACCUGGGAACUGCAUUUGUGACUGGCGAGUUAGAGUAUGGCAGAGGGGGGUAGAGUUCCACGUGUAGCAGUGAAAUGCGUAGAGAUGUGGAGGAAUACCGAUGGCGAAGGCAGCCCCCUGGGCCAAUACUGACGCUCAUGCACGAAAGCGUGGGGAGCAAACAGGAUUAGAUACCCCUGUAGUCCCUGUCUCUUAUAC
rnacentral:rRNA from 1 species